rnacentral:rRNA from 1 species
AUGCAAGUCGAACGGGGUGGAGGGGCAACUCUUCAUUCAGUGGCGGACGGGCUGAGUAAUGCAUCGGAACGUAUCCUUGAGUGGGGGACAACCCAGCGAAAGCUGGGCUAAUACCGCAUGAACUCGUAAGAGCAAAGUGGGGGCUCCGAGAGGACCUCAUGCUUGAGGGGCGGCCGAUGUCCGAUUAGCUGGUUGGUGGGGUAAAGGCCUACCAAGGCGACGAUCGGUAGCUGGUCUGAGAGGAUGAUCAGCCACACUGGGACUGAGACACGGCCCAGACUCCUACGGGAGGCAGCAGUGGGGAAUUUUGGACAAUGGGGGCAACCCUGAUCCAGCCAUGCCGCGUGCGGGAAGAAGGCCUUCGGGUUGUAAACCGCUUUUGGUCGGGAAGAAAGGGUUUUGGCUAAUACCCAGGACUGUUGACGGUACCGGCAGAAUAAGCACCGGCUAACUACGUGCCAGCAGCCGCGGUAAUACGUAGGGUGCGAGCGUUAAUCGGAAUUACUGGGCGUAAAGCGUGCGCAGGCGGUUCGUUGUGUCUGAUGUGAAAGCCCCGGGCUCAACCUGGGAAUGGCAUUGGAAACUGGCGAGCUAGAGUGUGGCAGAGGGGGGUGGAAUUCCGCGUGUAGCAGUGAA